rnacentral:rRNA from 1 species
CAGAGUAUCAAUUGGAGGGCAAGUCUGGUGCCAGCAGCCGCGGUAAUUCCAGCUCCAAUAGCGUAUAUUAAAAUUGUUGCAGUUAAAAAGCUCGUAGUUGAAUUUCUGCUGCAUUACAUAUCUCUUGUUUGAGUUUGUUUUUGUGGCUUAUUUCGGUUUGAUUUUUUCUUUCCGGAUGAUUACUUUGAGAAAAUUAGAGUGCUCAAAGCAGGCUUUUGCCUUGAAUAGUUUAGCAUGGAAUAAUAAAGUAGGACUUUGGUUCUAUUUUGUUGGUUUUAGGUACCAAAGUAAUGGUUAAUAGGAACAGUUGGGGGCAUUCGUAUUUAACUGUCAGAGGUGAAAUUCUUAGAUUUGUUAAAGACGAACUACUGCGAAAGCAUUUGCCAAGGAUGUUUUCAUUAAUCAAGAACGAAAGUUAGGGGAUCGAAGACGAUCAGAUACCGUCGUAGUCCUA